rnacentral:rRNA from 1 species
GAUGAACGCUGGCGGCGUGCUUAACACAUGCAAGUCGAACGAAGCACUUAAUGAGAUUUCUUCGGAUUGAUUAUUUUGUGACUGAGUGGCGGACGGGUGAGUAACGCGUGGGUAACCUGCCCCAGACCGGGGGAUAACAGUCGGAAACGACUGCUAAUACCGCAUAAGCGCACAGUGCCGCAUGGCACGGUGUGAAAAACUCCGGUGGUCUGGGAUGGACCCGCGUCCGAUUAGUUAGUUGGUGGGGUAACGGCCCACCAAGACUGCGAUCGGUAGCCGACCUGAGAGGGUGACCGGCCACAUUGGGACUGAGACACGGCCCAGACUCCUACGGGAGGCAGCAGUGGGGAAUAUUGCACAAUGGAGGAAACUCUGAUGCAGCGACGCCGCGUGAGCGAAGAAGUAUUCGGUAUGUAAAGCUCUGUCAGCAGGGAAGAUAAUGACGGUACCUGACCAAGAAGCCCCGGCUAACUACGUG